AUUUUUUUGCAGAGGCAAUGUCAUUGUCCAUGAAGUUUUACUAAAAUGUGAUUACUGCUGGUUGAAAACUUAACCCAGUAACCCGCCUAGAUGACCUGAAAUCUAGCCAGCUCUGGCAAAUUUUGGUCGGUCUCUGAGAA